CUUUCACGGUCGUAAGAUAAUCUCAAGUUGACGGCAACAAAGUUUGUAUUUAAUCACGCGUCGAAUUUGUGACGAUGUGAUCCAUUCGAAGUAAACAUCGAGGAUAAGAGGUCGGAGCGGAUCAGUUUGCCGAGAAGAGUCGGAGGGAACAGUUUGAUUUUGAAAUUGCGUGAAGAAAUCUCUGCGAAGUGUGAAAGAAAUGAAUCCUGAUCAGUAUAUUCGGAAGCAAAGUUACAUUUUGCUGGAAUCAAAUGCAAUACGAUCGUAGCAACACUAAGACACACUUGGAAAACCUGAAAAACCUGAAAAACCUGGAAAAACUGGAAAACCUGGAAACCCUGGAAAACCUGGAGUUGGAAAAAAACUGAAAAUAUCAGUUUCCUAUCAUGGGAAUUGGAAACGAUUUUUCGAGAUUGCAAGAUUGAAAAAAAAGAGAAGGAAUGAAGUGUGAAAUCGUACCGCAGCGUUCCCGUGGCACACUCUGGAGUCGUGGUUAUAUUUAUCACCAGCUCAGAACGGAGGUGACAGUCAUAGUGAAAUACUGUAAGUCAAUCGAUACCAUCAUAUUUAAUCCAGCAUUUCGUAUUUUUGAAUUUGAACUUAAAACUUGAUACAAACUCAACUCCCUUUUCUAUGUUGCAAUGAAAAAGGAGGUUUAUACUGAGUAAGGCAGCUCAACAUUCAAUGAGAGUAAGUGAGUUGCGUAGGGAAUAAACAAUCAAUUUUAUUUUGAAGUGCAAAGCAAAUGGCUAGAUUAUCGGUUGGCGACAUCCUCUCCCCUCGGGGUACAGGACGCGCGUUAGUUACAUAAAAAAUGAAAAAUGUAUUACGUUUUUGUGAAAUAAUUACACUCGGGACUUUUACUGUAGGAUAUAGCUUUAUUUCACAGAUGAGUCACCUGUACUCGCUCGGGAGACUACUUAGUCUGUACUCAUAGUCCGAAUCGCGAUACACACGAACGCUUACAAUACGCGGCGUCGUGUGUAUGUGUGUAUGUUUAUAUCUUCGGACUUACUAAUACCUGAGAUAUCACAGUUUUAUCAUGCAAAUCAAAAAUCGCUGUAUCAUAUGUUGGGGACAUCCUCCCCCCCUUGGUCUGGACGUGCGCCCUU